UGCGGGAUGGAGCAGCCCGGUAGCUCGUCAGGCUCAUAACCUGAAGGUCGUAGGUUCAAAUCCUACUCCCGCAA
rnacentral:tRNA from 1 species